rnacentral:lncRNA from 1 species
GUUAUUAAUUAUGUAAUUGGAGUACUGAGUGAUUAAAUUAUAUGAGAAGUUAUUGAAAGAUUGAUUAUGGAUGGAAGAUUAUGAUUAUUGUUUAUUGAGAGUUGUGUGUGUGUGUUUUGACAGAGGAAGUUUGUGAUUAUAGGAAUUCUGUGAAUUCAGUUUGGUUGGAGUGAAGUCUAUUAUUCUUGGAGUUGGAUGGAAUUUAUUGAAUUUUGAGCGGUCUUUUGAGAGUACAAGGUUGCACAUUGUGGUUAUUAGUUGAUGAAGGAAUAUUGUUACUGGGAGAAAGCAUUGUAGUGUUUCUUAGUGUUUUAGUGGUUCGAAAUACAAUUAAUUGUGUGACCCUAACAAGUGA